rnacentral:rRNA from 14 species
GGAUUAGAUACCCUGGUAGUCCGCCGUAAACGAUCUCUACUAGCCGUUCGGACUCUUGAAGUCUUAGUGGCGCAGCUAACGCACUAAGUAGACCGCCUGGGGAGUACGGCCGCAAGGUUAAAACUCAAAUGAAUUGACGGGGGCCCGCACAAGCGGUGGAGCAUGUGGUUUAAUUCGACGCAACGCGAAGAACCUUACCUGGCCUUGACAUGU